UGCCUUUCAGCUGGGUUAUCUUUCUGUUU
rnacentral:piRNA from 1 species